rfam:Sporothrix schenckii ATCC 58251 unplaced genomic scaffold supercont1.3, whole genome shotgun sequence.
GGCCCCUUGGCCUAAUGGUAAGGCGUUGCUUUCCGGUGGCAAAGAUUCUGGGUUCGAGUCCCAGGGGGGUCG